UGGGGAAUAUUGCACAAUGGGCGCAAGCCUGAUGCAGCCAUGCCGCGUGUAUGAAGAAGGCCUUCGGGUUGUAAAGUACUUUCAGUCGGGAGGAAGGUGUCAAGGUUAAUAACCUUGGCAAUUGACGUUACCGACAGAAGAAGCACCGGCUAACUCCGUGCCAGCAGCCGCGGUAAUACGGAGGGUGCAAGCGUUAAUCGGAAUUACUGGGCGUAAAGCGCACGCAGGCGGUUGAUUGAGUCAGAUGUGAAAUCCCCGGGCUUAACCCGGGAAUUGCAUCUGAUACUGGUCAGCUAGAGUCUUGUAGAGGGGGUAGAAUUCCAUGUGUAGCGGUGAAAUGCGUAGAGAUCUGGAGGAAUACCGGUGGCGAAGGCGGCCCCCUGGACGAAGACUGACGCUCAGGUGCGAAAGCGUGGGGAGCAAACAGG
rnacentral:rRNA from 1 species